GAUGAACGCUGGCGGCGUGCCUAAUACAUGCAAGUCGAGCGAAUGGAUUAAGAGCUUGCUCUUAUGAAGUUAGCGGCGGACGGGUGAGUAACACGUGGGUAACCUGCCCAUAAGACUGGGAUAACUCCGGGAAACCGGGGCUAAUACCGGAUAACAUUUUGAACCGCAUGGUUCGAAACUGAAAGGCGGCUUCGGCUGUCACUCCUGGAUGGACCCGCGUCGCAUUAGCUAGUUGGUGAGGUAACGGCUCACCAAGGCAACGAUGCGUAGCCGACCUGAGAGGGUGAUCGGCCACACUGGGACUGAGACACGGCCCAGACUCCUACGGGAGGCAGCAGUAGGGAAUCUUCCGCAAUGGACGAAAGUCUGACGGAGCAACGCCGCGUGAGUGAUGAAGGCUUUCGGGUCGUAAAACUCUGUUGUUAGGGAAGAACAAGUGCUAGUUGAAUAAGCUGGCACCUUGACGGUACCUAACCAGAAAGCCACGGCUAACUACGUGCCAGCAGCCGCGGUAA
rnacentral:rRNA from 1 species